GAUGAACGCUAGCGGCAGGCCUAAUACAUGCAAGUCGAACGGUGUCUUCGGACAUAGUGGCGCACGGGUGCGUAACACGUAUGCAACCUACCUUACAUUGGGGGAUAGCCUUUCGAAAGGGAGAUUAAUACCGCAUAAGACAGUAGCUGGGCAUCCAGCAGCUGUUAAAGAUUUAUCGAUGUAAGCUGGGCAUGCGUCCAAUUAGCUAGUUGGUGAGGUAACGGCUCACCAAGGCAAUGAUUGGUAGGGGAACUGAGAGGUCAAUCCCCCACACUGGCACUGAGAUACGGGCCAGACUCCUACGGGAGGCAGCAGUAGGGAAUAUUGGGCAAUGGACGCAAGUCUGACCCAGCCAUGCCGCGUGCAGGAUGAAGGCGUUAUGCGUUGUAAACUGCUUUUAUACAGGAAGAAACGACUCUUGCGAGGGGCAUUGACGGUACUGUAUGAAUAAGCACCGGCUAACUCCGUG
rnacentral:rRNA from 1 species